rnacentral:lncRNA from 1 species
UGGCACAAGCUGGUAAUUCAAAAAGCUUUCCCUUCAACCCCACUGAUAAGCGAAUAUAAUGCCUCACAUUGACCAUGAAGGUACAAUUCAUUCGAUCCAGAAAGGGGCACCAGACCAGGUAUUGAUAUCAUUAUAACAAAUAUUUGUUAUGGUCUAACAUAGUCAAAUCACAGAUAAUUCAGCAAGUUAUAGAUAGAAUUAUACAGAUAAGAAAGUUUAUAGAUUGUUUUAUGUAUUAUUAGGAAAGAGAAAGGAUACAUUACAUCGACGGAGGAUAAGAUAUCCUCCUAGAACCAUCUGAAUAAGAGCUCUGAGAAAAGUAGUGACAGCUGGACCCUCCCAAAAUCAGUGUAUUAUUGGCCCUAGGUGCCCAUUUAACACAGAAGCAAAAAUUAUCAAAAAACUCUUUGUGGGCCUUUGCUCAUAAGAAUGCCAACAGUGUCAUCCUUUCCUACAAAACUUGGGUCAGAAAGGUACAAUCCUAAAAAAUACUGUGAGUUCGUCCUAAUCAUAUCCUCCAUAAAACCACAAAUAAAGCACCUUGCUGGAGAGGUUUAGCUACUUUUCUCAUCCCUUUCAUUGAAGUUCAAAUUAUAAAACACUCCAGUGAAGAAGGAAUAAUCCAAGUCAAACGGAACGUACCAACAAUCUUGUUGGCAAUUUCAAUACCACGUUGCAAUGAAGGAAUAAGUGGUUGUAUGUCUCCCUUUUCCUGCAACACAUAACAGAAUGUUCGGUGAAAGAGCUUGAUUUGGCAUGUGAAUUUGCAGCAACUCAUUAGUGUGUAAUUUGUUUAGAAUAGUGGUCCAUGCAGACACCUUCGCUGUCGAAGGGACUUUAACUUUCCAAAACACAUUGAUAGAAGUAAUAUGCUAUCAGUUGGCAUUAUGGGUUAUGUGAUUAAAGAAAGAUUUACAAGUGUAUAACUCUGAGGAUCUAUUUUUCAAAUGUUGCUACUAGCGUGCUGGGAAUAAUAAAAGGUUUCUCACACUCUUAGCAACAGGGCUAGCACAUCACUGAUCUCAGGGAAUUUAAGUUUCUGGAGGUUCCAAACUACAGGAGACCAUCUCUAUGGCAUAUAAAAUGAGAAUUGGUGUGUUGUGGCUUGAGUAUCAUUGAUCUCGUGGUCACUGACCAUCUCUAUCGCAUAUGAAGUGGAGGUUCCAAACUACAGGACCAUCUCUAUGGCAUAUAAAAUCGGGAUGGGUGUAUACAGAUGGAGAAAACGGAGCUAAUGUGCUAUUGCCUCUCCAAAUAUCCUCCCAGAACAGUACUCUGGAGCCAUCUCCCCCAUUUUACAUGUUUUUCAAACUAGAGAUGACUUUCCAUGGACUUGUUUAUCAUGGAGCUACUAGCUAUAACAUUUCAUUAGUUUCUUUGGUCACCAUGUAUACUUCAUUGCCUUGUGACAUAGUGAACUAGGUUCCUGUGAAAAACAUCAUAGCCAUUUAGUUAAUAUGAUAAGUUAUUGAUAUUAGGUUCAUAAUGCUCAUGCCCGUGUAAGUUUUGAACUGAUAGUAUACUUCCCAAUUCAUCAAAUGAUCCCGAUGUGCCUCCCCUAUAUUGACCCACAAAAGCUUCCUCAUAAUCCCUUCCACUGUCAUGGCUACCCCUCUGGUAUUAUUAAUAGUGAUAAACAAUAGUAGUAUGCUAGACAUGCACCUAUAUUAAGGUGACUUUAGCCCUCAAAGAAAAUAAGCACCCGUGCCAGUACUCUGGCCUUUUCGACAUUUUGUUAACUACUACAUUCCAGAAAGACAUACUCCUAGGAUUACCACAAUGGAACACCUAGAUAAGUAGUUGGCCAUGCUAACUUUGAACAACCUAUUACUUCUGCCAGGUUCUUCACCUCAUCUUUGGCCAUGUUGAUUCCUACCAAUGUGCUAUUGGCUAGGUUAAUGCAUAAUCCUAAGAUGUGCUCAACACCAAGCUAUUAUCAUAUAAUAGAAAUAAAAUCAUUGUGAUCCACGGAUUGAAGCUGAGACACCUUUUACUCUAUUAUCUUCAACAACAAAUCUUUUUACAGACCCUCACAUCAAACCUUUGCCAACUUCCAACUUAAGACACCUACUACCAAGAUAAAAGGAAAUAGUGAGUGGGGUUCCUUUGCCUAAUAUCACUUUCUCCAAGAAGUUGAUUCCUUCGAUUGUAGGCUUUCUAAAAAUCUAGCUUUAGAACUAUCAUUCCUUUGUUUUAUUCAUAUUCUCCACUGUUGCGCCACAACAGAUGCGUUCAGAAUUUGCUAGCCAUUCGUAAAAGCACUCUGAUUAUUAUGUCGUCCAAAACCUCACUAACUCUUAAAGAUAAUCUUGUAUGCACUAGUCAUUAAACCUAUAGGGUGUUGAUUAGAGGAUUUUUUGGAUAUGAGGGUGAUAAAGGUCAAGUUCAUUUAUUACGUACGAUCUCAUUAAGAUAGAGUUUCUCAAACACUUUAUCAAGUCCACCUUAGUUAUAUCCGAACAAGCCUGGAAGAAGGCUAUAGAAAAACUAUUCAGUCCCAGAGCUUUUUUAGUCCCCAAAAAUCCAAGCAGCUUUCAUUAACCUUCACUCCAACCAGUCCGCUUUGGGCAAGUCCAACUUAAUUAUAUCUGAACAAGCCUGGAAGAAGGCUAUAGAAAAACUAUUCAGUCCCAGAGCUUUAUUAGUCCCCAAAAUCCAAGCAACUUUCAUUAACCUUCACUCCAGCCACUCCGCUUUGGGAAUACUAAUAGGCCCCAUUCAGUCCCUUCCAAUAACGGCUGUUACUCACCCUCAUUAUAUAUCUCUUGUAGAAGUUCCUAACCUCCACUUUGGAAAUACUAAUUGGCUUUUGCUCAGUCCCUUCCAAUAACGGCUCUUACUCCUUAUCCUCAUUAUAUAGCUCUUAUAGAAGUUGGUAAUCUCUCUCCCAUUGGCUACCCUCUCCUACUCCAGGACUCUGCUCUCCAGUUAUAGCUCCUUAGUGACCUCUUUUACUACCCUGUGAACCGGUGCACCAAUAUGGAUUGCACAACUCAGGAAGAUAUGAUAGCUCUUCCUUAAAGAACGACGUAUUGGUAUAGGUUGUGGGCCCAUACACGUAUGUAAAACCACCAGCUUCUUUUCCCUUUAAUAUUAAGCAACACUGAUAUAGAAAAGACUCCUUCAAUGAAGUUGACCAGAUUUGCAAACAUAGUGUUCUAUCUUAUUAGCUGCUCCUAAUGCCCCUGAAAAAAGAAUUGCAACCCACUCCUUAAACCUUGGCUCCCUAAUGCUAUGGACAAUUACUGUAUCUCUUCUAUUUUUUUCCCCCCUUUUCAAUCCCCAUUUUGACACUCCAAACUCAGAAUCUUCAUUAACAACUAAUUGCUAAUUGCAUAAUAUCUGAUUCUAUUUUUUUUCUCCUGUACACAUCUUAGGUGACCCACUAUCUUUACCUCAUUUAUUGACUCUGCCACCUUUAUAAAGUACAAGCUUUUUAACCGGGCAGUGGGAUUUCCCAUAUCAGAAUUUGUCAGAAUUGGCUUUAAAGUAAUGGUAUUUUGUAAAAGUGGCUGGUUUUCUGUGCCUCCAGAAGUGAGGUUUUCCUCGUAGGUUUUUGGAAUAGAGAGUAUACGGUUUCGAAGAUGCUCCAUGCUAUUUUUAUUUCCUGCCAUGGGAUCAACAAAAAUUAUACUAAAAUAAGUUUCAGGGUUGUGUUUGUGUAUAUAGGACCUGGUUGGGUUGCCAGUGUAAAUUUUGAAGUUGCUCAAAAUCCUUUCCCCGCGGGAAAUUGUUAUUGUGCCACAUGAUCCAACUCUGGUUCUACAUUCCUUGUUGUCACACAUUGGAUGUAUUAUCUUACUGUUCCCCUUCAAAAUUAUUUCUAAGAAGAUCCUGCAUUCCUGUUAAAAGAGGACACAGUUGUUACUGAAUCCACAUUAUCGUUGUCAUCCUCCUGUUUCAGUUCAUCCUGCGUCUUCUCAACCUCUGUCUUCUCAACCUCUGUGGCCAAAACCAACGCUAGUCGAACCUUCCCCAAAGAAAUGUUUUUCAGCUCCUCCACUGGAUCAAGUAUCCAUCACGGCAGUUGGUCCUCUCCUCUUCCACCCCUACUCCCUCUGGGCCACUUGUGUUGCCUCCUCCUGACAGACACAUUGAUGUUGAUGGGCCCACUAUGCUUGACUCCAAUCAGUGUUUCCGCCAGCGUUUGCAUUCUCUGAUGCCUUUUUUCAUUCUUAUACCCUGAAGCACUUUCCUUUUCUGCAUGUUUCUCUUUCCUUGGAGUCCCUCCGCCUUCCUCUGGGUCGCUGCAUCAGCCUGAACCCUAUCAUGCCUACGCCGCCACUCUGCCUGAACUCCUUUACCCUGUCUGGCCCAGUUACCUCCUCGUCCGGGCUCCAUUUUGCUUCAAUUAGGUGGGCAGAAUUGCAUCCUGCUGAACUGGGACCCAGUUUGACGAUGCGAGUUGACAACCUAUUUAAAUGAGGAAUUUUGAAUUUUAAAACACUCGUCAAUCUGCCUCACCCUCCUAAACUUUUGGAAGUCAACUGUAAGCAUUAAUAGGAUAAUUUGUUGAUAAGAUAUGAUCUUUCCUUGAUUUUGCUCUCAUCAAAUAUUCCUAUUAUUAGUCCGCUCCAUAUUUGUAAUCGAUGUCGAAACGUUAAUAUACAUCCUUCCCCCUUUUCCGGAAAUACCCAAAAGCUCUUCCGUUCAACACUAAAAUCGAUAUUCAAGUUUUGAUAUUUAUAAAAAAUUGAUAUUUCAACACUAAAUCGAUAUCAUCAUCCGCCAUGAUAUUUAUAAAAAAGCUAUAACUGGAAAAAAUAAACACUUUAACCAAGGGAAACCUUUUAUCGACCGGUGUGUUAUCUACAUGUGAAGUUUUACAUGUACAGAAUACCCUUGGUUUCUCCUACACGUUCUUUGUUAUCUGGAAAAAAAAUAAUGUUCUUUGUGAUUUGAUAAAUCUAGUUUUGAAUCCCGUACACAGUGAAUCAAAAAUAAAAUAUCUGAGUUCAUUCUUUGACCUGUACGUUAACAGAGCAUGGAUUACAAUUACUUGCAGCAGCAUUGGGCUAAAGAUCAUUUGGUUUUUAGGCAUGUUAAUCUAUUUGAUGGUUGUGAACAGGAAUCUCUCGAAGAAAGGAGGAGAUUGCAGGAGGUCUGUGGCACUCCUCAACGUGAUAUUGCAGAAACAACAAGCAGAUAUGCUUACACGGUAAAACUGAGUAUUUCUUGCAUAUAUUUCAAGAGUAAAAUAAGUACACAGAGAUGAUCUUACCAACGGCCAAAUUUAUUCUAUGAAUAUUUUUUUAUGUAUAAUUUCAAGGUAGUCAUGUUUUUGUAAUUUAUUCUAACAAUGUUUGGUUGUACAAUUUAUUGCUCUUGUGGUAAGUAUAUACUUAUGAAUGUUUGAUUUUGUUUAAACAAGUAUAUUAUUACAGUGUUAUAGAUUAUAUAAUAAUUUAUUUAAAAGGAAAAUGAAG